AUGAUGAUAAUAAAUCUCUUAAAAUUUAUACGGUUAGAACCUGAAUCUAUGUGAAGAUUUUACUAGGGCGGACUGAUGUA